rnacentral:rRNA from 1 species
GAUGAACGCUGGCGGCGUGCUUAACACAUGCAAGUCGAACGGAGCACCCCCGAAGGAGUUUUCGGACAACGGAGGGGAAUGCUUAGUGGCGGACGGGUGAGUAACGCGUGAGGAACCUGCCUUGGAGAGUGGAAUAACACAUGGAAACGUGUGCUAAUACCGCAUAAUGCAACGGAAUCGCAUGGUUUUGUUGCCAAAGAUUUAUCGCUCUGAGAUGGCCUCGCGUCUGAUUAGCUAGUUGGUGGGGUAACGGCCCACCAAGGCGACGAUCAGUAGCCGGACGGCGAGGUUGACCGGCCACAUUGGGACUGAGACACGGCCCAGACUCCUACGGGAGGCAGGAGUGGGGAAUAUUGGGCAAUGGGCGCAAGCCUGACCCAGCAACGCCGCGUGAUUGAAGAAGGCCUUCGGGUUGUAAAGAUCUUUAAUCAGGGACGAAGGAAGUGACGGUACCUGAAGAAUAAGCUCCGGCUAACUACGUGCCAGCCGCCGCCGUAAAAC